AGUGAACGCUGGCGGUAGGCCUAACACAUGCAAGUCGAACGGCAGCACAGUAAGAGCUUGCUCUUACGGGUGGCGAGUGGCGGACGGGUGAGGAAUACAUCGGAAUCUACUUUUUCGUGGGGGAUAACGUAGGGAAACUUACGCUAAUACCGCAUACGACCUACGGGCGAAAGCAGGGGAUCUUCGGACCUUGCGCGAUUGAAUGAGCCGAUGUCGGAUUAGCUAGUUGGCGGGGUAAAGGCCCACCAAGGCGACGAUCCGUAGCUGGUCUGAGAGGAUGAUCAGCCACACUGGAACUGAGACACGGUCCAGACUCCUACGGGAGGCAGCAGUGGGGAAUAUUGGACAAUGGGCGCAAGCCUGAUCCAGCCAUACCGCGUGGGUGAAGAAGGCCUUCGGGUUGUAAAGCCCUUUUGUUGGGAAAGAAAAGCAGCAGGUUAAUACCCCGCUGUUCUGACAGUACCCAAAGAAUAAGCACCGGCUAACUUCGUG
rnacentral:rRNA from 1 species